UGUAUCUCUGUAAUGUGUCUGUAUCUCUGUAAUGUGUCUGUAUCUCUGUAAUGUGUCUCUGUAAUGUGUCUCUGUAAUGUGUCUGUAUCUAUGUAAUGUGUCUGUAUCUCUGUAAUGUGCCUGUAUCUCUGUAAUGUGUCUGUAUCUCUGUAAUGUGUCUGUAUCUCUGUAAUGUGUCUGUAUCUCUGUAAUGUGUCUGUAUCUCUGUAAUGUCUCUGUAAUGUGUCUGUAUCUCUGUAAUGUGUCUGUAUCUCUGUAAUGUGUCUGUAUCUCUGUAAUGUGUCUGUAUCUCUGUAAUGUGUCUGUAUCUCUGUAAUGUGUCUGUAUCUAUAUAAAGUGUCUGUAUCUCUGUAAUGUGUCUGUAUCUCUGUAAUGUGUCUGUAUCUCUGUAAUGUGUCUGUAUCUCUGUAAUGUGUCUGUGUCUGUAAUGUGUCUGUAUCUCUGUAAUGUGUCUGUAAUGUGUCUGUAUCUCUGUAAUGUGUCUGUAAUGUCUCUGUAUCUCUGUAAUGUGUCUGUAUCUCUUCUGUAUCUCUGUAAUGUGUCUGUAAUGUGUCUGUAUCUCUGUAAUGUGUCUGUAAUGUGUCUGUAUCUCUGUAAUGUGUCUGUAUCUGUAAUGUGUCUGUAUCUCUGUAAUGUAUCUCUGUAAUGUGUCUGUAUCUCUGUAAUGUAUCUCUGUAAUGUGUCUGUAUCUCUGUAAUGUGUCUGUAUCUCUAUAAUGUGUCUGUGUCUCUGUAAUGUGUCUGUGUCUCUGUAAUGUGUCUGUGUCUCUGUAAUUUGUCUGUAAUGUGUCUGUAUCUCUGUAAUGUAUCUCUGUAAUGUGUCUGUAUCUCUGUAAUGUAUCUCUGUAAUGUGUCUGUGUCUCUGUAAUGUGUCUGUGUCUCUGUAAUGUGUCUGUAUCUCUGUAAUGUGUCUGUAUCUCUGUAAUGUGUCUGUAUCUCUGUAAUGUGUCUGUAUCUCUGUAAUGUGUCU
rnacentral:lncRNA from 1 species